rnacentral:rRNA from 1 species
AUUGAACGCUGGCGGCAGGCCUAACACAUGCAAGUCGAGCGGUAGAGAGAAGCUUGCUUCUCUUGAGAGCGGCGGACGGGUGAGUAAUGCCUAGGAAUCUGCCUGGUAGUGGGGGAUAACGUCCGGAAACGGACGCUAAUACCGCAUACGUCCUACGGGAGAAAGCAGGGGACCUUCGGGCCUUGCGCUAUCAGAUGAGCCUAGGUCGGAUUAGCUAGUUGGUGGGGUAAUGGCUCACCAAGGCGACGAUCCGUAACUGGUCUGAGAGGAUGAUCAGUCACACUGGAACUGAGACACGGUCCAGACUCCUACGGGAGGCAGCAGUGGGGAAUAUUGGACAAUGGGCGAAAGCCUGAUCCAGCCAUGCCGCGUGUGUGAAGAAGGUCUUCGGAUUGUAAAGCACUUUAAGUUGGGAGGAAGGGCAGUAAAUUAAUACUUUGCUGUUUUGACGUUACCGACAGGAUAAGCACCGCUAA